rnacentral:rRNA from 1 species
UACAGAGGUCUCAAGCGUUGUUCGGAUUCAUUGGGCGUAAAGGGUGUGUAGGUGGCGCGCUAAGCCGGGUGUGAAAUUUCGGAGCUUAACUCCGAAACUGCAUUCGAUACUGGCGUGCUUGAGGACUGGAGAGGAGACUGGAAUUCAUGGUGUAGCAGUGAAAUGCGUAGAGAUCAUGAGGAAGACCAGUGGCGAAGGCGGGUCUCUGGACAGUUCCUGACACUGAGACACGACGGCCAGGGGAGCAAACGGG